CUGUAAAGAAAUAUGGAUGUAAUCACCAUGACGUCAUCAACUGGGAGCUACCUGCUUGGUGCAGACACACAGAUUCUGGUGAGGACACAUCUGGAUGCAACGGACCAGUGAAUGCACUGGCUGGUGGGUAACAUGCACUGCCUAGCUUGACAGUUCGAUCUGAGUUUUGUGAGCUGGCUGCGUUGCGCUGGAUGGACCUCAUCUCCAUAAAGUUGAGGUCGAGUCCUGAUUAUGCAAAUUCAGAUAUGGAGGUUGGUCCAUCAACUUGCCAUGAUGUAUAGAUCAUGCACCAUGUGGCUGGAUCUCCUGCUCUCUAUAGAAAAUGAAUGGUAUCCAUCGACUUGACAUCCAUCCAGUGUGUCUGCACCAUAAGGUUUCAUUCAAGGCAAGUUAUUCCAGAGAACUUUGUUUUAUUUAUUUUUUUACCAUUAACCUAUUAAUGCCAGUUGUAUAGACACAAAGGUAAUCAGUUAAGUAAAACUGAUCAAGGGCAUUUUCAUUCAGUCACUUGUUUAGAACAUCAGCCUACAUUAAAAGUAAUACAAGGUAGCCUUGAACAAUGUAUGAUGCACAAACAUUUAUUCAUUGUUUUGUGUGUGUGUGUGUGUGUGUGUGUGUGUGUGUGUGUGUGUGUUGUUUCUUUUCAGGUCACAUCUGGACUGGUGAGACCUCUAUUGGUCUUCCUCACCCUGACCCUGGGCAUUUCCUGCAAAUAUACAGAGCAAAUGAAUACAUCUUUAAUAAUAGAUGUAAUAAAAAUUUAAUAAUAAUAGAGUGCAAUUUGCCCUUGUUUUGUGUCUUAUUGAGUGAGUGGAGCU